rnacentral:misc_RNA from 1 species
GAUGAAGAACGUAGCGAAUUGCGAUAAGUAAUGUGAAUUGCAGAAUUCCGUGAAUCAUCGAAUCUUUGAACGCAAAUUGCACUCUCUGGUAUCCCGGAGAGUAUGCCUGUUUGAGGGUCGGUAAAAUGAAAUAUCGAUAUGUUGCUUAUUUUGCAGCAUUUCGGAAUUGGGUUAACUUGAUCCUCAAGUGACCUAAAAUUCAUUACUUCCGGUAUGAUUAACGUAUUUAAUUAUUUCGUUUGAAUGCCGAAUUAUAUUAGAUGUGACUAUUUAAUAUAGCAUCACUUCUAUAAUUUUUUGAAUUUCGACCUCAAAUCAGGUAAGAGUACCCGCUGAACUUAAGCAUAUCAAUAAGCGGAGGA